UACCAUGAUCGAUAAAAAGCAAACUAUCACUU
rnacentral:piRNA from 1 species